rnacentral:rRNA from 1 species
UACGGGGGGGGCAAGCGUUGUUCGGAAUUACUGGGCGUAAAGGGCUCGUAGGCGGCCAACUAAGUCGGACGUGAAAUCCCUCAGCUUAACUGGGGAACUGCGUCCGAUACUGGAUGGCUUGGAUUCGGGAGAGGAAUGCGGAAUUCCAGGUGUAGCGGUGAAAUGCGUAGAUAUCUGGAGGAACACCGGUGGCGAAGGCGGCAUUCUGGACCGAUAUUGACGCUGAGGAGCGAAAGCCAGGGGAGCAAAC